AGGGCGUGUUUGACAACGAUGUUGCCAAAGCUGACGCCUUUCAGGCGUGCUGUUCGGAUAUACUGCGCCGUCAUAACUUCGGCCAUCGACGCCCGCGUCAUACGCGCGAUGUAGCCCAUGCCAUAAAGCGAGAUGGUGAGGACCGGCAGAAAGAAAUUCUCGAAAUUCGC
rnacentral:ncRNA from 1 species